rnacentral:rRNA from 1 species
UAGGGAAUCUUCCACAAUGGACGCAAGUCUGAUGGAGCAACGCCGCGUGAGUGAAGAAGGUUUUCGGAUCGUAAAGCUCUGUUGUUGGUGAAGAAGGAUAGAGGUAGUAACUGGCCUUUAUUUGACGGUAAUCAACCAGAAAGUCACGGCUAACUACGUGCCAGCAGCCGCGGUAAUACGUAGGUGGCAAGCGUUGUCCGGAUUUAUUGGGCGUAAAGCGAGCGCAGGCGGAAGAAUAAGUCUGAUGUGAAAGCCCUCGGCUUAACCGAGGAACUGCAUCGGAAACUGUUUUUCUUGAGUGCAGAAGAGGAGAGUGGAAUUCCAUGUGUAGCGGUGGAAUGCGUAGAUAUAUGGAAGAGCACCAGUGGCGAAGGCGACUCUCUGGUCUGCUACUGACGCUGAGGCUCGAAAGCAUGGGUAGCGAACAGG